rnacentral:rRNA from 1 species
UGAGGAACAUGACCUUCGGCGGGGGAUAGCCGGCCCAACGGCCGGGUAAUACCGCGUACGACCACAUGGGGACAUCCCUGAGUGGUGAAAGCAGCAAUGCGCCGAUGGAGUGCCUCGCGGCCUAUCAGCUAGUUGGUGAGGUAACGGCUCACCAAGGCGACGACGGGUAGCCGGCCUGAGAGGGUGACCGGCCACACGUGGGACUGAGACACGGCCCAGACUCCGUACGGGAGNAG